rnacentral:tRNA from 1 species
AGGUUUUUAGUUAAAUAUAUAAUAUUAAACUGUCAGUUUAAAGUUUUAAAACCAA